rnacentral:rRNA from 1 species
UACGAAGGGGGGCUAGCGUUGCUCGGAAUCACUGGGCGUAAAGCGCACGUAGGCGGAUUGUUAAGUCAGGGGUGAAAUCCUGGAGCUCAACUCCAGAACUGCCUUUGAUACUGGCGAUCUUGAGUCCGGGAGAGGUGAGUGGAACUGCGAGUGUAGAGGUGAAAUUCGUAGAUAUUCGCAAGAACACCAGUGGCGAAGGCGGCUCACUGGCCCGGUACUGACGCUGAGGUGCGAAAGCGUGGGGAGCAAACAGG